UACGGGGGGGGCAAGCGUUGUUCGGAAUUACUGGGCGUAAAGGGCUCGUAGGUGGCCAACUAAGUCAUACGUGAAAUCCCUCGGCUUAACCGGGGAACUGCGUCUGAUACUGGAUGGCUUGAGGUUGGGAGAGGGAUGCGGAAUUCCAGGUGUAGCGGUGAAAUGCGUAGAUAUCUGGAGGAACACCGGUGGCGAAGGCGGCAUCCUGGACCGAUUCUGACACUGAGGAGCGAAAGCGAGGGGAGCAAACGGG
rnacentral:rRNA from 1 species